UUGAACGCUGGCGGCAGGCCUAACACAUGCAAGUCGAGCGGAUGAAGGGAGCUUGCUCCUGGAUUCAGCGGCGGACGGGUGAGUAAUGCCUAGGAAUCUGCCUGGUAGUGGGGGAUAACGUCCGGAAACGGGCGCUAAUACCGCAUACGUCCUGAGGGAGAAAGUGGGGGAUCUUCGGACUUCACGCUAUCAGAUGAGCCUAGGUCGGAUUAGCUAGUUGGUGGGGUAAAGGCCUACCAAGGCGACGAUCCGUAACUGGUCUGAGAGGAUGAUCAGUCACACUGGAACUGAGACACGGUCCAGACUCCUACGGGAGGCAGCAGUGGGGAAUAUUGGACAAUGGGCGAAAGCCUGAUCCAGCCAUGCCGCGUGUGUGAAGAAGGUCUUCGGAUUGUAAAGCACUUUAAGUUGGGAGGAAGGGCAGUAAGUUAAUACCUUGCUGUUUUGACGUUACCAACAGAAUAAGCACCGGCUAACUUCGUG
rnacentral:rRNA from 1 species